ensembl:lncRNA
UUGGGCAAAAUACCUGCUGUGGCAGCCCUGUGCCUUGACUGCCUCCAGGAGAAAGUUUCUUGGGAAUGGUUGCUGAAACAAGAAGUGUGUCCAGCCUCCAGGGCUUGCCAGCAGCUAUUGACUGAUACGAGCACACUGUCCUCGGUGGCAGGAGGGAGCAACUUGCUUUAUCUAUGCAUUCCCUGGCAAGCAGCAGCAGUGGAGAAAGAGACAUGUCUCACUGGCCAGUGUCCAGUCCCUGGCAAGCCAAAUCAUUCUACAAGCUCUGAAACUGAAGAUAAAAAAUCAGCAAUGGAACAUUGCUGCUUGAGUCAGAGGUGUGAAGGAAUCAGCUCUCCACUCCAUGAUCCAUCCUCCAGCUCACAGCUGGUACAAAUGGGUGUGACUCAUUGCACAGCCAGAGGUUAUAAUGAAGUAUCCCACUCAUCCUUUAGCUCACCCUUUGUUCGAGACAAUGUGGAUUGCGGAAGGUUUCUGAGGAGUGUGUUUCAGAAGCAUGCACUUUGAGAUGGACUUUACUCCAGAAGUUCAGAAGCCCAGACUUGGCACCCUCUGAUUUCUCCAGAAGAAGGCUGAGAGCUAGAUAUGGAUCAAUUCUUAUGCUGAACCUCCAAAUUCACAGCAAACCCAGAAGCUUUGAGAAGCUGUCAGUGACACGACCCCAGUUCUCUCUGCCCAUGUCUGAGGUGCCUCUUCUGGGAUGGGAGCAACUGAGUCUCACCAAUCUGUCAGCAACCAGGAGGAAGCCAGGAAACAAAUAAACAAUAAAAGUUGGUGCUGCA